GUAUAAUGAUGAAAUCCAUGCGUGUCAACUGACUCUGGAACCCCCUGAGUGUUCUAGUUCUACCACUCAGCGUUCGGUUCUAGUUCUACCACUCAGCGUUCUGUUGGCUGGUGUGUUCUGGACCUCAGGGCUCUGGAACUCAUGAUCAGAUUCCACACUGGCUGAAUAC